AUGAGUAUGUGUUGAAUAAAGUUGUUACUGGUCCUCAGCUAAUACUAAGCACUCUAACACGUGUAUACACAUAUUAUGUUCAUUACC